UUCUAAAGAGGUAAAAUCAAUAAGAACAAACAUGUACCAAUAGAAACUCUAAAUCAAUCCUUAUCUACACUUUUACUCCAUUAAGACUGCAUUUAGAGUGUCUCAAUAUUAUAUCAUAAAUAUGAAAACAAAAAUCACCACAUAUAUCCAGCAAUUGUAAUCAGAAAGUCGUACCCCUAUCUGCAAACUGAGAGAUUAAAAAUCUACUCUAGAUCCACAUGGAACAUAGUGAGAUAAACAGUGUUGUUCUGUCAAAAGGGGGUCAGAUUUAUGACCCAUAUAUUGCCCUUCAGCAAGAUAUACAGUUUACUCGUCUGCAAGGUUUGUUGUACCACCCGAAUAAAUACUGUAUGGGCGGUAUGUACUAGUUUGUCAGGCAAUCAAAAAGAUCGCCUGAGUCCCCAUCAGCACGCCCCGGCACACCAUGUGUUGGUAUGCCAGUAUAGAGCAGGACAUUCCGAACUGCCAACCGCACGGGAAGCCGAACCUUGCUUGAAUGUAUUUGAUGUAAUAUCCAUUUGAGCAUUACAUCAAAUGCAGUUCUUAAAAAACAUAUGCCUAAACAUCCAGGAGUCAGAUAAUGUGAUAACAUCAUGUGUCUAAACAUCCAUGAUCAGAUAAAUAUCAAAAUCUGUGACAAAGUAUGAAAAGAAAGGCAUCUACCUGAAGGAGAUGUAAUCAGACUGGUUGGCAAAUGUGAUUAUGCGUUU
rnacentral:lncRNA from 1 species